rnacentral:rRNA from 1 species
AAACCAACAGGGAUUGCCUUAGUAGCGGCGAGUGAAGCGGCAAAAGCUCAAAUUUGAAAUCUGGCACCUUCGGUGUCCGAGUUGUAAUUUGAAGAUUGUAACCUUGGGGUUGGCUCUUGUCUAUGUUUCUUGGAACAGGACGUCACAGAGGGUGAGAAUCCCGUGCGAUGAGAUGCCCAAUCCUAUGUAAGGUGCUUUCGAAGAGUCGAGUUGUUUGGGAAUGCAGCUCUAAGUGGGUGGUAAAUUCCAUCUAAAGCUAAAUAUUGGCGAGAGACCGAUAGCGAACAAGUACAGUGAUGGAAAGAUGAAAAGAACUUUGAAAAGAGAGUGAAAAAGUACGUGAAAUUGUUGAAAGGGAAGGGUUUGAGAUCAGACUCGAUAUUUUGUGAGCCUUGCCUUCGUGGCGGGGUGACCCGCAGCUUAUCGGGCCAGCAUCGGUUUGGGCGGUAGGAUAAUGGCGUAGGAAUGUGACUUUGCUUCGGUGAAGUGUUAUAGCCUGCGUUGAUGCUGCCUGCCUAGACCGAGGACUGCGAUUUUAUCAAGGAUGCUGGCAUAAUGAUCCCAAACCGCCCGUCUUGAAACACGGACCA